rnacentral:rRNA from 1 species
ACCCCACUGCUAUCGGGAUAGGACUAAGACAUGCUAGUCGAGCGCUUUCGAGCCAUGUUGAGAGCGCGGCAUACAGCUCAGUAACACGUGGCUAACCUGCYCUUGGGACGGGAUCACCCCCGGGAAACUGGGGCUAAUCCCCGAUAGGUGAAGAACUCUGGAAUGAGUCUUUGCUCAAAGGGCGCCAGAUCAUGCUUCUGGUGUCGCCCAAGGAUGGGGCCGCGACCGAUCAGGUUGUUGGUGAGGUAAUGGCCCACCAAGCCUAUAACCGGUGCGGGCCGUGAGAGCGGGAGCCCGGAGAUGGGCACUGAGACAAGGGCCCAGGUCCUACGGGGCGCAGCAGUCGCGAAAACUUUGCAAUACACGAAAGUGUGACAGGGUUAUCCCGAGUGCCGACCGCUGAGGUUGGCUUUUACCCAGUCUAGAAAGCUGGGGGAAUAAGGAGAGGGCAAGUCUGGUGUCAGCCGCCGCGGUAAUACCAGCUCUCCGAGUGGUGUGGACGUUUAUUGGGCCUAAAGCAUCCGUAGCUGGCUGAACAAGUCCCCUGUUAAACCCACCGAUUUAAUCGUUGGCGUGCGGGGGAUACUGCUCGGCUAGGGGACGAGAGAGGCAGACGGUAUUCCCGGGGUAGGGGUGAAAUCCUAUAAUCCCGAGAAGACCACCAGUGGCGAAGGCUGUCUGCUAGAACGCGCCCGACGGUGAGGGAUGAAAGCUGGGGGAGCGAACCGGAUUAGAUACCCGGGUAGUCCCAGCUGUAAACGAUGCAGGCUAGGUGUUAGGGCGGCUACGCGCCGCUCUAGUGCCGCAGGGAAGCUGUUAAGCCUGCCGCCUGGGGAGUACGGCCGCAAGGCUGAAACUUAAAGGAAU